AACGAACGCUGGCGGCAUGCCUAACACAUGCCAGUCGAACGAGACCUUCGGGUCUAGUGGCGCACGGGUGCGUAACGCGUGGGAACCUGCCCUUAGGUUCGGAAUAACUCCCCGAAAGGGGUACUAAUACCGGAUAAUGUCUUCGGACCAAAGAUUUAUCGCCUUUGGAUGGGCCCGCGUUGGAUUAGCUAGUUGGUAGGGUAAAAGCCUACCAAGGCGACGAUCCAUAGCUGGUCUGAGAGGAUGAUCAGCCACACUGGGACUGAGACACGGCCCAGACUCCUACGGGAGGCAGCAGUGGGGAAUAUUGGACAAUGGGCGAAAGCCUGAUCCAGCAAUGCCGCGUGAGUGAUGAAGGCCUUAGGGUUGUAAAGCUCUUUUACUCGGGAUGAUAAUGACAGUACCGGGAGAAUAAGCGCCGGCUAACUCCGUG
rnacentral:rRNA from 1 species